CGAUUGUGUCGACAUAACACUAACUGACAUCCGAAGUGUUCCACUUUUGAUAAAUGAUAACUUAAUGGUGUAAGUUCAAGGCGAAUUUUGAUAAAACGGUAAAAGUUUUCGGAAUUAGGUAAACAAUAUUGAAAAAUAUGUCCGUCGUAAACGUUGGUAUCAGUUACUGGAUUAAUUUAAAGUCAGCUUAUUAUGUAGUAUGCUGUAGCGGCGACUGGUCAAAGUUCUAGAAACCGCAAUAGAGGGUCAUUUAACAAAGUCUGAUGUAUUGAGUUAAUUACUUGUACAACUACGAGCUAGAACACUUAAGAUAAAGAAGUGGACCUUGAUGAAAUUCCAGAACAGGUCUUUCGAU
rnacentral:misc_RNA from 1 species